rnacentral:lncRNA from 1 species
CAAAGGACAAAAGAGUACAAACAAUCAACCCUCAAUCUGUGACAAGAUUUACUUUAAUUACAUUUUUAACAAUCAAAUCAUUACACUUUCUGGUAGGUGAGUUGUUGUGUUGGGGAUCAUAAUUAACCACACCAGUCAACAUAAUAUAUAUAAUUAAAAUAGACCUAUUUAAUUAGAGAUAGGUUAAUUCAGAUUAUAUAAUAAUUAAUAUACAAUUUACUCAAUAUUAUAUAUUUAUAUAUAAAAUACAUCACACAAGCAAAGUACAACAACAUUAAAAAAGCCCAUAUUUCAGUCCUUCCAAUAUUGCAAAGUAUGCAGCUGUGGAUCGGAGAACACACAAAAAGGAAAAAAAAAAAAAAAAAAAUAAAGGAGCACAUAAAUAAAUCUAUAGUUUCAUUUUGCUAACACUUGAACAUAAUUUAAGAAACCAUAAUCAUCAAUGGCAUUUCUGUAAAUAAACUGUUUUUUUUAAAUCUCAAGGCAUGUUGUUUUCUUCUUCAUAUUGAUACUGAUCUUCUUGGUUCUGAUAUCCUCCCAUGGCGUUUUCGCGGUUAAACUCACCGGCGUUGUUUUCGCUGUUGUUUUCGUAAUAUUUCUGU